rnacentral:rRNA from 1 species
AUUGAACGCUGGCGGCAGGCUUAACACAUGCAAGUCGAGCGGAGCGAGGGUGCUUGCACCUUAGCUUAGCGGCGGACGGGUGAGUAAUGCUUAGGAAUCUGCCUAUUAGUGGGGGACAACAUUCCGAAAGGGAUGCUAAUACCGCAUACGCCCUACGGGGGAAAGCAGGGGAUCUUCGGACCUUGCGCUAAUAGAUGAGCCUAAGUCGGAUUAGCUAGUUGGUGGGGUAAAGGCCUACCAAGGCGACGAUCUGUAGCGGGUCUGAGAGGAUGAUCCGCCACACUGGGACUGAGAAACGGCCCAGACUCCUACGGGAGGCAGCAGUGGGGAAUAUUGGACAAUGGGCGGAAGCCUGAUCUAGCCAUGCCGCGUGUGUGAAGAAGGCCUUUUGGUUGUAACGCACUUUAAGCGAGGAGGAGGCUACUAGUAUUAAUACUACUGGAUAGUGGACGUUACUCGCAGAAUAAGCACCGGCUAACUCUGUGCCAGCCGCCGCCGUAA